CGGACGGACGGACGGACGGACCGACGGGCGGGCAUGCGGUCGGGCAUGCGGGCGGCCGGGCUCUAGCCAGGGAUCGGGGCUCGGGCCGCAGCCAUGGAGCGGCGGCUGCGCGCGCUGGAGCGGCUGGCACGGGGCGAGGCCGGCGGCGGCCCCGGGCUCGACGGCCUCCUGGAUCUGCUGCUGGGGCUGCACCACGAACUCAGCAGCACCCCCCUGCGGCGGGAGCGCAACGUGGCGCAGUUCCUGAGCUGGGCCAGCCCCUUCGUAACAAAGGUGAAAGAGCUGCGUCUGCAGAGAGAUGACUUUGAGAUUUUGAAGGUGAUCGGCCGAGGGGCCUUCGGGGAGGUUGCUGUGGUGAGGCAGAGGGACAGUGGGCAGAUUUUUGCCAUGAAAAUGCUGCACAAGUGGGAGAUGCUGAAGAGAGCUGAGACGGCCUGUUUCCGGGAGGAGCGGGACGUUCUGGUGAAGGGGGACACCCGCUGGGUGACCACUCUGCACUAUGCCUUCCAAGACGAGGAGUACCUGUACCUGGUGAUGGACUACUAUGCCGGUGGGGACCUCCUCACACUGCUGAGCCGCUUUGAGGACCGCCUGCCACCUGAGCUGGCCCAGUUCUACCUGGCGGAGAUGGUGCUAGCCAUCCACUCGCUGCACCAGCUGGGCUAUGUCCACAGGGAUGUCAAGCCAGACAACGUCCUCUUGGACGUGAAUGGACACAUUCGCCUGGCUGACUUUGGCUCCUGCCUGCGUCUCAACAAUAGCGGCAUGGUGGAUUCAUCAGUGGCAGUAGGGACACCGGACUAUAUCUCCCCUGAGAUCCUGCAGGCCAUGGAGGAGGGCAAGGGCCACUACGGCCCUCAGUGUGACUGGUGGUCACUGGGAGUGUGCGCCUAUGAGCUGCUCUUUGGGGAGACGCCCUUCUACGCCGAGUCCCUGGUGGAAACCUAUGGCAAGAUCAUGAACCAUGAGGACCACCUGCAGUUCCCCUCGGAUAUGCCUGAUAUACCAGCCAGCGCCCGAGACCUGAUCCGACAGUUGCUGUGCCGCCAGGAGGAGCGGCUGGGCCGUGGCGGGCUGGAUGACUUCCGGAACCAUCCCUUCUUUGAAGGCGUGGACUGGGAGCGGCUGGCGGCCAGCACUGCCCCCUAUGUCCCUGAGCUCCAAGGGCCCAUGGACACCUCCAACUUUGAUGUGGAUGAUGACACCCUCAACCACCCAGGAACCCUGCCACCACCCUCCCAUGGGGCCUUCUCGGGCCACCACCUGCCAUUCGUGGGCUUUACCUAUACCUCCGCCAGUCCCAGUCCUGAGGGCAGCUCUGAGCCCUUGGCUGCUCUGGAGCGGAAGCUCCGCUGUCUGGAGCAGGAGAAGGUAGAGCUGAGCCGGAAGUGCCAAGAGGCCCUACACACCCCUUCAGACCACUGGGAGCUGCAGCAGCUACAGAAGGAAGUGCAGACUCUACGGGAGAGGUUGUCAGAGACGCUGAAGGACAGCCAUGCCCCCUUGUCCCAGAUGGAUGGGUCCCCUGCUAGUAGCCCAGGUCAGGACAGUGACCCAUGGCAUGAGAGAGACCAGCUCCACCAGGAGCUGGCUGAGGCUCGGGCAAAUCUGCAGGCUCAGGAGCAGGAGCUAUGCAGAGCCCGGGAGCAGCAGGAGGAGCUGUCCCAGAGGCUGCAGGAGGCCCAGAAGAGAGAAGCGGCCAUAGUCAGCCAGACCCAGGCCCUGAGCUCCCAGCUGAAGGAAGCCCGGGCUACCCAGAGGGAGCUGGAAGCCCAGGUGGCCACCCUGAGCCAGGAGGUGACACAGCUGCAGGGACAGUGGGAGCGAAGCCUUGAGGAGUGUUCCCAGGUCAAGACGGUCCACACAGCCUCUGAGACCAAUGGCACGGGACCGCCCGAGGGUGGGCCUCAGGAAGCUCAACUGAGGCAGGAGGUAGCUGCUCUGCGGGAGCAGCUGGAGCAGGCCCACAGCCACGGGCCAAGUGGGAAGGAGGAGGCUCUGUGCCGGCUGCAGGAGGAGAACCGGCGGCUGAGCCGGGAGCAGGAGCGGCUGGCAGAAGAGCUGGCGCAGGAGCAGCAGAGCAAGCAGCAGCUGGAGGGCGAGCGGCGGGAGACAGAGAGCAACUGGGAGGCCCAGAUCGCCGACAUCCUCCGCUGGGUGAAUGAUGAGAAGGUCUCAAGAGGCUACCUGCAGGCCCUGGCCACCAAGAUGGCUGAGGAGCUGGAGUCCUUGCGGAACGUAGGCACCCAGACACUCCCUGCCCGGCCGCUGGACCACCAGUGGAAGGCACGACGGCUCCAGAAGAUGGAGGCUUCGGCCAGGCUGGAGCUGCAGUCGGCGCUGGAGGCUGAGAUCCGCGCCAAGCAGGGCCUGCAGGAGCGGCUGACGCAGGUGCAGGAGGCCCAGCUGCAGGCCGAGCGCCGUCUGCAAGAGGCCGAGAAGCAGAGCCAGGCCCUGCAGCAGGAGCUGGCCACGCUGCGGGAGGAGCUGCGGGCCCGCGGGCCAGGGGACCCCAAGCCGUCAAACUCCCUGAUUCCCUUCUUGUCCUUCCGGAGCUCAGAGAAGGAUCCUGCCAAGGAGACUGGCGUCUUAGGAGAGGCCCCAAGGCCUGGGAUGGAGCCAGAGCUGAGGCCAGAGGGCCGACGCAGCCUGCGCUCAGGGACGGUGUUCCCCAGAGUACCUGCAGCCACCACAGCCCCUGCAGAAGGUCCUCCUACUAAGCCUGGCUCACACAUGCUGCGCCCCCGGAGCUUCCCAUCCCCCACCAAGUGUCUCCGCUGCACCUCGCUGAUGCUGGGCCUGGGCCGCCAGGGCCUGGGCUGUGACGCCUGCGGCUACUUCUGUCACUCAACCUGUGCCCCACAGGCCCCACCCUGCCCCGUGCCCCCUGACCUGCUCCACACAGCCCUGGGAGUGCACCCCGAAACGGGCACGGGCACUGCCUACGAGGGCUUCCUGUCGGUGCCACGGCCCUCUGGCGUCCGGCGGGGCUGGCAACGGGUGUUUGCUGCGCUCAGCGACUCGCGCCUGCUGCUAUUUGACGCCCCUGACCCUCGGCUCAGCCCGGCCAGUGGGGCCCUCCUGCAGGCGCUGGAUCUGAGGGACCCCCAGUUCUCAGCCACUCCUGUCCUGGCCUCAGAUGUCAUCCAUGCCCAGUCCAAGGAUCUGCCACGAAUCUUUAGGGUGACAGCCUCCCAGCUGACCGUGCCACCUACCCUGUGCACCGUGCUGCUGCUGGCUGAGAGCGAGGGGGAGCGGGAGCGCUGGCUGCACAUGCUGGGCGAGUUGCAGCAGCUGCUGCUGGACACACGGCCAAGACCCCGGCCCGUGUACACACUCAAGGAGGCCUAUGACAACGGGCUGCCACUGCUGCCCCACACACUCUGCGCUGCCAUCCUUGACCAGGAGCGGCUUGCUCUGGGCACCGAGGAGGGGCUGUUUGUGAUCCAUCUGCACAGCAACGACAUCUUCCAGGUGGGGGAGUGCCGGCGGGUGCAGCGGCUGGCUGUGAGCCCCACAGCGGGCCUGCUGAUUGUGCUGUGUGGCCGUGGCCCCAGUGUGCGCCUCUUUGCACUGGCCGAGCUGGAGAGCACAGAGGCAGCAGGUGCCAAGAUCCCCGAGUCUCGAGGCUGCCAGAUGGUGGUAACUGGGCGCAUCCUGCAGGAUCGCACCCCAGUGCUCUGUGUAGCUGUCAAGCGCCAAGUGCUCUGCUACCAGCUGGGUCCAGGCCCAGGGCCCUGGCAGCACCGCAUCCGUGAGUUGCAGGCACCCGCACCUGUGCAGAGCCUGGGGCUGCUGGGCGACCGGCUGUGUGUGGGUGCCGCCGGUGGCUUCACAGUCUACCCACUGCUCAAUGAGGCUGCACCACUGGUGCUGGGGUCUGGUCUGGUGCCUGAGGAGCUACCGCCGUCUCGAGGGGGCCUGGGCGAGGCACUGGGCGCCCUGGAGCUCAGCCUCAGUGAGUUCCUGCUGCUCUUCACCACUGCUGGUGUCUACGUGGAUGGCACAGGCCGCAAGUCUCGUGGCCAUGAGCUGCUGUGGCCAGCAGCACCCACGGGCUGGGGUUAUGCAGCCCCCUACCUGACAGUGUCCAGCGAGAGCGCCAUCGAUGUGUUUGACGUGAGGCGAGCAGAAUGGGUACAGACGGUGCCGCUCAAGAAGGUGCGGCCCCUGAAUCCAGAGGGCUCCUUGUUCCUCUAUGGCACCGAGAAGGUCCGCCUGACCUACCUCAGGAACCAGCUGGCAGAGAAGGACGAGUUCGACAUCCCCGACCUCACCGACAACAGCCGGCGCCAGCUAUUCCGCACCAAGAGCAAGCGCCGCUUCUUUUUCCGGGUGUCGGAGGAGCUGCAGAAGCAGCAGCGCAGGGACAUGCUGAAGGACCCCUUUGUGCGCUCCAAACUCAUCUCGCCGCCCACCAAUUUCAACCACCUGGUGCACGUGGGCCCCACCAACGGGAGGCCCAGCGCCAGGGAUCCGCCCCGGGCUCCGGAAGGGAAGGGCCGAGGUGCCCGCACUUCUGGCCCGCAACGGCCCCACAGCUUCUCGGAGGCGUUGCGUCGCCCAGCCUCUGUGGGCAGUGACGGCCUCGCUGGACAUGCAGACCCCAUGAAGAGGAAACCUUGGACAUCUCUGUCCAGCGAGUCCGUGUCCUGCCCCCAGGGAUCUCUGAGCCCAGCAGCCUCCCUAAUACAGUGACCCAUGUCCCCCCCUCCUCCCAACUCCACUGCACAUCUGGCUUCCUCCAAGGGCCCUGCUACAGCAGGUCUCAGAACGACCCCGGAGCCUCCCCCCGGCCCCUGAAUCAGAGAGCACCCUUUGAUGUUCUCUGCCAGGGCCCACCCCAAUCCCAGGACAGAAAGAUGUGAGGGAACAAAGUUUGAGAAAUGCCAUAUUCCGGCUGGUCCGGGACAUGGAAAUUCGGACUCAGGGAGGUCCUGGACUGGGCAGUGACUGGGAGGCUUGCCUGGGUUCCUAGGACUUGGGGGUCCUGACUCCUAGCCCUCAUCCUGCCUUCCCCUCUGCUCCCAGCCCCAGCCUGUGCCAGCCAUUGGGAAUGGAAUGGCCCCUCUUCUGCCCUGGUGUCCAGGGGUGAUUGUGCCAAAGCUCUUAUGGUACCAAGCCCCAGGAGGCUUGUGAGAGUCGGGAUGAGAGAUGGAGAGGGACCGGGUCCCUGGGAGCAGGUUGGGGAUCUUGAGCAGUUGUAGACUGUCUGGUCCCCAGCUGAGGCCAAGAUGGGGCAAGUCCAGGUCUGUGUUCAGGGUCUGGGUGGGAAAGGUCUGUGUUCAGGGUCUGGGUGGGAAAGACAGGCACUGAUCCAGAGACACGGAGGAUGGAGGAGGGAGAGGAUGUAGGUGAAGGAGGUGAGGGAGAGGCACCGGAGAGGAAGUAGAGGAGGAGGUAAUAAUAAUCGGAAGGAGGCAGAAGCCAUGCAGAGGAGGAGGGAGGGAUGAAGAAGGAGGAUGCAGAAGAGCAGAAGAGAGAUACAAAAGGAGCGGGGAGGAGUGGGAGCUGGAAGAACACAGUCCUACAGUCCCUUCUCUGGGGACGAGCUUGGUGAGACUGGGAACAAGGGGACUCAGUGUCAGCCAGGCCUCUCAGAGGGGAAGAGAAUCCUAGGCAGGGAGGGGAUAGGGAGGGUAUUUAUAAGGGCUUCUUGGUGGGAGAUGGGCAUCUAGAGCGGCUACUGGAGAGUCUCCAGGCAUACUCUGGCCCUUCCCAGAAAGGGGGUUCCUUUUCCCCAAAGCUUCCACCAACUGCGUAUUAGGGGACUAUAGGGGGCAUUUUAUUAUUGAUCAUAGUCAUUAUUAUUGUUAUUAUAUUACUAUUUUUAUUAAACCUCCCCCUACUGAGGCGUGGGGGGCAAAAUAAAUAUUUAUCUCCUCAAAUGCCACAUUCCUAGGAGGGACAGACCAUGAUGCUCUGUGAAGCAGCAAGAAACUAAUAAAGACAACUUUGUAA